rnacentral:rRNA from 1 species
AUUGAACGCUGGCGGCAGGCCUAACACAUGCAAGUCGAGCGGAUGAUGGGAGCUUGCUCCCGGAUUCAGCGGCGGACGGGUGAGUAAUGCCUAGGAAUCUGCCUGGUAGUGGGGGACAACGUCUCGAAAGGGACGCUAAUACCGCAUACGUCCUACGGGAGAAAGCAGGGGACCUUCGGGCCUUGCGCUAUCAGAUGAGCCUAGGUCGGAUUAGCUAGUUGGUGAGGUAAUGGCUCACCAAGGCGACGAUCCGUAACUGGUCUGAGAGGAUGAUCAGUCACACUGGAACUGAGACACGGUCCAGACUCCUACGGGAGGCAGCAGUGGGGAAUAUUGGACAAUGGGCGAAAGCCUGAUCCAGCCAUGCCGCGUGUGUGAAGAAGGUCUUCGGAUUGUAAAGCACUUUAAGUUGGGAGGAAGGGUUGUACGUUAAUACCGUGCAAUUUUGACGUUACCGACAGAAUAAGCACCGGCUAACUCUGUGCCAGCCGCCGCGGUAACAC